rnacentral:rRNA from 1 species
UACGGGGGGGGCAAGCGUUGUUCGGAAUUAUUGGGUUUAAAGGGUGCGUAGGCGGCCUUAUAAGUCAGUGCUGAAAUAUCCCGGCUUAACCGGGAGGGUGGCAUUGAUACUGUAGGGCUUGAGUGUAGUCGAGGUAGGCGGAAUUGACGGUGUAGCGGUGAAAUGCUUAGAUAUCGUCAAGAACACCGAUAGUGUAGACAGCUUACUAGGCUACAACUGACGCUGAGGCACGAAAGUGUGGGGAUCAAACAGG